AAUCCCUAUUCCGCUAAAACUCUCAGCUCGAGAGAAACCGUCAUUGCAAACCCUAAAUUAUCUAAAACUCAACUACUUCCCAUCUGUAAAUCCGAAAUCUCCAUUGAUGCUCAGUGGUGGGAACAAGACUGAAUUUUGCUAGAAAUUGCUGAGAUUUUGAAGCGUAUAAUCCUCAAUUGUCUGCUGAAAUUUCUGGGCUAGUGUUCUGUUUUUGUGUAUCAGUCUGUUGUUGGUUUGUCUCAUAUAAGCAUUGAAGUAUUACUGAGCUUUGCCACCCGGAUUAUAACCGUGAUAUGCUUCAAAUACAUUUCCUGAAGGUGCACAUUUCUCACUUUUGAAAUUUAAGUUUUAAGUUUAAGCUUUCAUUUUGGAAUGUGUUUGUCUGACAUCAAAAUUUUGAAGUAUUUCCCCAAGAAUCAUGUUUACUAGCUUUGGGGUUAUUCUGGUGAUGCUGACCCAGAACAUUAGCAUUUGUCCCUUGCUAAGAACUUCAGGUACGACAAAAACUUGUAGUUACAAAGUAUGCUUUGUACGUGUUAACUUUGUUAAGGUCAAUUCAUUAUAGCCAUAACCUAAGAAAACAUACAAAAACUUAUGGUUGUCAGUUACAACAAAUAUGUUUUCUAUGCUAAACUUUUUGGUCUCUAACUGGAAGUUAAUUGUAUCGUGACAUUGGCCGCCAAAGACAUUUGACGGUGAUCUAAAAGGAUAAGAAAUUUCAAUUAGUUUUGGGCUUGACAUUGCUUGCAAGGUAAGUUUAAAAGGUGGUAACAACCACUUCUGUCGUCUGAGACCUCUACUAUAGAGUAUAACAGUUUUAAUAUUAGGCCAUAUAUUAUGUAUAAUUUUUUCUGUUGGUAUUUAGAUGCUUUUCAUUCAGGUGCAUGGUUCUUCUUUUAGUUCUCAUGCAAUUAUAUGGAACGCCUAAUCUUGAAUUACGUUGACUGCUUUUUGAAGUAAUCGUAAAAAACUCUCAUUAAAUAUUGUACAUCACUGUUUAAACUAUAAAAAGCUCUAAUUUUCACGGUCCUUAGCCUUUUCCAAUUUAAAAUUGUUUCUAGUGUAGUAGAAGAGGCUAAUCUAGAAAACAAGUUUGCACAGUAAAGUGACAGACUCCGUCUGAGGUAUUAUGUUGCUAGUUCUCUUUAUUUGUUGCUGCAUUGUAGAUUAUCAUUGUUUUCCUAAUAUUCCGAUUGUAGGCAGUUGUAUAAAUUUAUGUAAUGGAUUAGAAAAUAGUUGUAUACUUUAUAUGUAUCAAUUGUAAUCUCUCAUUCUUCUAUGUCCUGUGUGAAGAAAAUGUCCUUGCUUUGCUAUAUGGUCACAAAUGUGAGCUUAAUUUGUUUGUGUAAGGCAUCAUGUCUCUACCUAGGUAGGAUUUUUGUAAGUGUAGAUCAUGGUUUUAAACAUGGAAAUUUCCUUUAUUUUCCUUGAGAUGGAAUGAUCAAUGCACUCGCUUUAGUUACAACAGAUAUCUGAAUUUCAAUGGGGUUGUCAGGUUUUGCACUCGCAAUGGGGAGAUGACACAUAAUUCUCAAGUCUAACGACAUUAGAACGAUACCAGAAACCAUUCAGAUAUCGAAGAAAGCCUCUAGGAUAAUCGUCGAAAAUGAAAUCAUAUCAUUCGCUAAAAAGGGUCUAGUUCUAACAUUAGCCCUUGCUGGCUACUCUAUGAUGUUGUUGUUUUGACAGACGUCAGGACAUGCCUGCCUGUAGACUGAACAACAUGUUGCUUCUAAGGAACUGAAGACUCUAAGAGGACAAUUUGUAGAACUGUUCAGAAUAAAGCAUGUCUGGCAAGGAAGAAGUCAAGUGCUGCAGUUCAGUUAGCAAAAGAAUGAUGUGGUCGAGUAUUGCGAAGACAGUAGAGUCGAAAAAAGGGUUUAGGAUAUGUUUUAGGCUUUAGUAAUUUUGUAUAGUUUUUAAGCUUUAGUUAGUACGGAAUAAUUUAUGAUGGUGUUGUAGACAAAAUUGGCUAACAUUUCUUAUUUAGGGAUGUGAACUAUAUUAAAACUUAUAUGUUUUAAGUAGAUUAUUUAAAUUUUGCAGGUGUAAAUGUUGCUUUUAUGUAUUGUAUAUUAUUACUGAUUUUAUUAUGCUUUAUUUAAAAUGAGUAAGCUAAUACAAAGUGCCCAACAUGUAUUUGGCUCCAUAUGUAUUAAAAGUCCCAGACAU